rnacentral:rRNA from 1 species
UACGUAGGGGGCGAGCGUUGUCCGGAGUUACUGGGCGUAAAGGGCACGCAGGCGGUGCGGCGCGUUUCGCGUGACAGCGGAGGGCUUAACUCUCCGAGGAUGCGAAAGACGGCGGCACUUGAGGGCCAGAGAGGGACACGGAAUUCCGGGUGGAGUGGUGAAAUGCGUAGAGAUCCGGAGGAACACCGAAGGCGAAGGCAGUGUCCUGGCUGGUGACUGACGCUGGAGGUGCGAAAGCUAGGGGAGCGAACGGG